rnacentral:misc_RNA from 1 species
AACGCACCUUGCGCCCUUUGGUAUUCCGAAGGGCAUGCCUGUUUGAGUGUCAUUAAAUUCUCAACCUUGCUCGCUUUUACCGGCUUGAGUUAGGCUUGGAUGUGAGGGCUUUGCUGGCUUCCUUCAGUGGAUGGUCUGCUCCCUUUAAAUGCAUUAGUGGGAUCUCUUGUGGACCGUCACUUGGUGUGAUAAUUAUCUACGCCAUCUUGACUUUGAAGCAAAACUUAUGGGAACCCGCUCAUAACCGUCUUCGGACAAUCUUUGACUUUUGACCUCAAAUCAGGUAGGACUACCCGCUGAACUUAA